rnacentral:lncRNA from 1 species
GGGUGAGAUGAAUGAUUACAUAAACAUUGUUCAAUCUUAAACCUAAUUUCUUCUUAAGUCACUUAAUUCAAUAUUAUCACUCAUUUUAUACAUGACGGGACCCUCUAUAUAUCUAUUAAAAAUACAAUAUUCAUUAACUUUUUUAUUAAAACUCGUGUCCAGCCAAAAUAGUAUAUAUGUUAAAAAGAUAAUUAUGAAAGCUAAUUGGAUUAGUGAAUCUAAAUUAAU